rnacentral:rRNA from 1 species
UACAGAGGGUGCAAGCGUUAAUCGGAGUUACUGGGCGUAAAGGGCGCGUAGGCGGUUGUGUGAGUGUGAUGUGAAAGCCCUGGGCUUAACCUAGGAAGUGCAUCGCAAACGACAUAACUGGAGUAUAAGAGAGGGUGGCGGAAUUUCCGGUGUAGCGGUGAAAUGCGCAGAUAUCAGGAGGAACACCGAUGGCGAAGGCAGGUCUCUGGGCCACUACUGACGCUGAGAAGCGAAAGCAUGGGGAGCAAACAGG